AAAAAUGUAGUAUAAAAUAUGCGCCUCAGUUACAUUGAGGAAAUUCACAAAUGUGGCAUUUUUA
rnacentral:tRNA from 1 species